AUUGAACGCUGGCGGCAGGCUUAACACAUGCAAGUCGAGCGGAGAUGAGGUGCUUGCACCUUAUCUUAGCGGCGGACGGGUGAGUAAUGCUUAGGAAUCUGCCUAUUAGUGGGGGACAACAUUCCGAAAGGAAUGCUAAUACCGCAUACGUCCUACGGGAGAAAGCAGGGGAUCUUCGGACCUUGCGCUAAUAGAUGAGCCUAAGUCGGAUUAGCUAGUUGGUGGGGUAAAGGCCUACCAAGGCGACGAUCUGUAGCGGGUCUGAGAGGAUGAUCCGCCACACUGGGACUGAGACACGGCCCAGACUCCUACGGGAGGCAGCAGUGGGGAAUAUUGGACAAUGGGGGAAACCCGGAUCCAGCCAUGCCGCAUGUGUGAAGAAGGCCUUAUGGUUGUAAAGCACUUUAAGCGAGGAGGAGGCUACUGAGACUAAUACUCUUGGAUAGUGGACGUUACUCGCAGAAUAAGCACCGGCUAACUCUGUGCCAGCCGCCGCCGUAA
rnacentral:rRNA from 1 species